GACGAACGCUGGCGGCGUGCUUAACACAUGCAAGUCGAACGGAAAGGCCCUGCUUGCAGGGUACUCGAGUGGCGAACGGGUGAGUAACACGUGGGUGAUCUGCCCUGCACUUCGGGAUAAGCCUGGGAAACUGGGUCUAAUACCGGAUAGGAGCCAUUUUUAGUGUGAUGGUUGGAAAGUUUUUUCGGUGUAGGAUGAGCUCGCGGCCUAUCAGCUUGUUGGUGGGGUAAUGGCCUACCAAGGCGGCGACGGGUAGCCGGCCUGAGAGGGUGGACGGCCACAUUGGGACUGAGAUACGGCCCAGACUCCUACGGGAGGCAGCAGUGGGGAAUAUUGCACAAUGGGCGCAAGCCUGAUGCAGCGACGCCGCGUGGGGGAUGACGGCCUUAGGGUUGUAAACUCCUUUCGCUAGGGACGAAGCUUUUUGUGACGGUACCUAGAUGAGAAGCACCGGCUAACUACGUG
rnacentral:rRNA from 1 species